CCUCGUUAAAAGAAACUUCCUGAAGCUUAAUUAUUCCUCCCGGAAAUCAUCUUAACAGACAGACAGACACAAAUCGAGAUCUCGACAAUACAUAGAUCGCGCGAAAGACUGGGUCGAGUGGACUCUGGAGAAACCACCGCGUGUCAAGAAUAGGGUGCUGCUUUCGGCAGCAAUGAUUUUUCCCCUCAAUUUAAAAAAAUUAAAUCGAUACGUUUCUUAGAAAAUUAAAAAACGUCAAAAAUCGUUUUUAAAAAUUU